CAAAUCAAAAUGUUCCAUCCAGACUUCUGUGUUACCGCACUGCUACCAGUAUAUUUCAAAAUUUGAGCCCUUCCACCUCUAAAAAUUACGAAAUUCUGUGGCAUCCCCAGUUUGUCGAAUCUGGAUCAGAUAGGAUUAUUAAUAUAGCCAGAAGGAACAAAUCAAUUCGCUUUUGCUAAGAAAGACCGCCACGUGCUCACUCUUUUGCUGCCUCUCUCUCUUACCUACUCUUCGUGAUGCAAUGUGUGCGUCCUCUGGCGGAGAGGAGCCAUACUGACUGGUAUAAAUGUAGAGUCGCGGCCGUGGCUGCAACUCACAACGUUCCUCCUUGCUUAUCUGUGGAAAUUACAAAUUUCUGUAUACGUUUUAGUACUAUGAAUGUAUACAUACGUAAAUAUUUUUACGAGAAAAUGAACUAAUCAACCACUGUGCGACUGCUAGUUUUGCCGGCUUGGAUGUUCCCGAUGAUGCACUUGAAAUGUUGCAACCGAUACCGCUGAAAGUCGAACUUUGUUUUAUAUAAUUUUUAGAGUAACAGCCGUUUAGUGGAGUUCACUUUUUCUGCCCUGCCGCAAAUGACAGACUAAAGGUCACCUCCAUACUGUUUGAGAGCAAACCACAACAAAACUUAACCAGCAGAUAUAUUCGCCAUUCUUCCGGUCGACAUUGAAACCCGUGCGUUUCGGCAAACAUACUCAUAGAUCCAUUAACAGUUUUCUGCUAACAAAACGCUACUUGAGCCGGUACAGGGUGCAGCACAGCCUUUUGUUUGC